GCUCAGAUUGAACGCUGGCGGCAGGCCUAACACAUGCAAGUCGAGCGGAUGAAGGGAGCUUGCUCCUGGAUUCAGCGGCGGACGGGUGAGUAAUGCCUAGGAAUCUGCCUGGUAGUGGGGGAUAACGUUCCGAAAGGAACGCUAAUACCGCAUACGUCCUACGGGAGAAAGCAGGGGACCUUAGGGCCUUGCGCUAUCAGAUGAGCCUAGGUCGGAUUAGCUAGUUGGUGAGGUAAUGGCUCACCAAGGCGACGAUCCGUAACUGGUCUGAGAGGAUGAUCAGUCACACUGGAACUGAGACACGGUCCAGACUCCUACGGGAGGCAGCAGUGGGGAAUAUUGGACAAUGGGCGAAAGCCUGAUCCAGCCAUGCCGCGUGUGUGAAGAAGGUCUUCGGAUUGUAAAGCACUUUAAGUUGGGAGGAAGGGCUGUAGGCUAAUAUCCUGCGGUUUUGACGUUACCAACAGAAUAAGCACCGGCUAACUUCGUGCCAGCAGCCGCGGUAAUACGAAGGGUGCAAGCGUUAAUCGGAAUUACUGGGCGUAAAGCGCGCGUAGGUGGUUCGUUAAGUUGGAUGUGAAAGCCCCGGGCUCAACCUGGGAACUGCAUCCAAAACUGGCGAGCUAGAGUACGGUAGAGGGUAGUGGAAUUUCCUGUGUAGCGGUGAAAUGCGUAGAUAUAGGAAGGAACACCAGUGGCGAAGGCGACUACCUGGACUGAUACUGACACUGAGGUGCGAAAGCGUGGGGAGCAAACAGGAUUAGAUACCCUGGUAGUCCACGCCGUAAACGAUGUCAACUAGCCGUUGGAAUCCUUGAGAUUUUAGUGGCGCAGCUAACGCAUUAAGUUGACCGCCUGGGGAGUACGGCCGCAAGGUUAAAACUCAAAUGAAUUGA
rnacentral:rRNA from 1 species